GAUGAACGCUGGCGGCGUGCUUAACACAUGCAAGUCGAACGGAAAGGCCCUGCUUGUAGGGCACUCGAGUGGAGAACGGGCGAGUAACACGUGGGUGAUUUGCCUUGCACUUCGGGAUAAGUUUGGGAAACUGGGCCUAAUACAGGAUAGGAACUAUCUUUAGUGUGGUGGUUGGAAAGUUUUUUCGGUGUAGGAUGAGCUCGCGGCCUAUCAGCUUGUUGGUGGGGAAAUGGCCUACCAAGGCGGCGACGGUUAGCAGGCCUGAGAGGGUGUACGGCCACUUUAGAACUGUAAUGCAGCCCAGACUCCUGCAGGAGGCAGCAGUGGGGAAUAUUGCACAAUGGACGCAAGCCUGAUGCAGCAACGCCUCGUGGGGGAUGAAGUCCUUCAGGUUGUAAACUCCUUUCUCUAAGGACGAAUCUUUGUUGUGACGGUACCUAAAUAAAAAGCACCGGCUAACUACGUG
rnacentral:rRNA from 1 species